GGGACGAACGCUGGCGGCGGGCUUAACACAUGCAAGUCGAACGGAGCCUUCGGGCUUAGUGGCGCACGAGUGAGUAACACGUAGGCAACCUACCCUUAGCUGGGGAAUAACCAGGGGGAACCCUGGCUAAUACCGCAUAACGUCUCGGCACCGCCUGGUGCCCUGACCAAAGCUCCGGCGGCUAGGGAUGGGCCUGCGUCAGAUUAGCUAGUUGGUGGGGUAACGGCCCACCAAGGCUACGAUCUGUAGCGGGUCUGAGAGGAUGAUCCGCCACACUGGCACUGAGACACGGGCCAGACUCCGUACGGGAGGCAGGCAGUGAGGAUAUGCGCAAUGGGCGAAAGCCUAGACGCAGCCACGCCGCGUGCGAGGAGACCACCCCUCGUGGGCGUAAACGUGCGUUUUGUGUGAAGAAGAACGGCCCUCG
rnacentral:rRNA from 1 species